UAGCCCCGCCCUCCUGAGGGCGAGGGCGGAAGAGCUGGCCUUGUGCGUGCCCGCGAGGCGAGCCGCCUUCUUGACGUCCGCUCCGAACUUCGAAGGGGCGAUGGCGGCUGCGGAGGACUCCGAGCUGCGAGAGCGCGCAGCAGUGGAGCGGGACGCGGCUGCGGCGACAACGACUACGGCGAUGGGCGUCGGAGGCCCCGGGCCGGCUCUCAGCGGGCAGUCGUACUGGCUGGACGUGUGGCUCAUGCUCCUCAUCGACUUGGUGCUCUUCGUCUUCGUCUAUCUCUUGCCCUGACGGACAAAUGGGUUACUACCAUCAGCGGCACUUUGAUCCAGAACAGAACUGACCAGCACUGGAACUUUUAUGUACAGACCAAGGGGUGAUGCCUUCCACUAUAUCUGAAGUGUUGGUGCCUGGGUUCUACUCCUUGGAUGUAAUUUCCUGAAGAGAGUUGGAGAGAUGGGAUUUCAUCUUUGGUUUUCAAACUAAAAGAAUGGAAGAUAUGCCUUAUUUUGAAUGUUACGCUUAUUAUAAAGAUAAUUGAAAGUUUUAA